rnacentral:rRNA from 1 species
UACGGGGGGGGUAAGCGUUGUUCGGAAUUACUGGGCGUAAAGGGCUCGUAGGCGGCCAACUAAGUCAUACGUGAAAUCCCUCAGCUUAACUGGGGAACUGCGUGUGAUACUGGAUGGCUUGGAUUUGGGAGAGGGAUGCGGAAUUCCAGGUGUAGCGGUGAAAUGCGUAGAUAUCUGGAGGAACACCUGGGGCGAAGGCGGCCAGCUGGGCCGUCCCUGACGCUGAGGCGCGAAGGCGUGGGGAGCGAACGGG